rnacentral:RNase_P_RNA from 1 species
GCUGGGAGGAAGCUCUCCGUAGAGGCCACUUACGGGGUGUUCGUCACCCUUGCUCCGCCUUUGGGAAGGUCUGAGAGAAGGGCCAAGCACCGCCCUAGCAGGGCGCCGCCUGCGGAAGGCGGGUGAGUUCCCAGCAAUGUGGGUCUCCAGUGAAGCCAAAGAUAGGGGCAGGAGAAGCAGCGGAGGGGCCUCGUUCUCCUUCCUGCGGAUGCCUCCGCCGCUUGCUUGGGAUUUGGGAAUGACUCACGGCCGGCAAUGAUGAGUACAAUGGGCAGAGGUGAAGUAAAGCUGAAAGCGCGCUUCAUAACCCAAUUCAGACUAGUCUCCAACCAGC